AGUUGUGACAACUAUAUCUUCCAUUAGAGAUUCCAUUAGAGAGUAUUUCAGGGGUGGAAAAUCAUUGAAGAGGAUAUUCAUUGAAGUCAAUUAUUCAUCCUUCGCCAAAAUGAGAGAAAAUCGAAAAGAAAAACAGCACCUCCAGACAAGGUAAGAGUGGAAGGUAGGCUUAAGUUUUCAUAUCUCCAUUGUGCCUUACAAUUGCUUGUCUCCCUUUUCUUCUCUGUGCUGCGUGGUUGGGUUUCUUUUUGUGGCUUCGCUGUGGAUUCCUAGGGUUUGAAGGUGGAAACAGGUUCGAUCUCGAUCGAUGGAGGCCGAGGCAGAGAACAACAACGUGAAGAAGGAAGAAAACAACAAUGAUAACAACAACAACAACAACAACAACAACAAUGAAAGUAAUAGCAAAAUCGAGAAUUCGAGUGAGUGUCUAAGCAAGGCCAAACGUCAAAUGAAGACGCCGUUUCAACUUGAAACACUCGAGAAAGCUU